rnacentral:rRNA from 1 species
CCCUUAGAUGUUCUGGGCCGCACGCGCGCUACACUGAAGGGAUCAGCGUGUUUUCCCUUCCCGAGAGGGACGGGUAACCCGCUGAACCCCCUUCGUGGUAGGGAUCGGAGCUUGCAAUUGUUCUCCGUGAACCAGGAAUUCCCAGUAAGCGCAAGUCAUAAGCUUGCGUUGAUUACGUCCCUGCCCUUUGUACACACCGCCCGUCGCUACUACCGAUUGAACGUUUUAGUGAGGUAUUUGGACUCGGCCUUGGGAGGUUUCGGCCUCCCUUGUUGCUCGGAAAGACUCCCAAACUUGAGCGUUUAGAGGAAGUAAAAGUCGUAACA